GAUGAAGGAACGUAGCGAAAUGCGAUAAGUAAUGUGAAUUGCAGAAUUCAGUGAAUCAUCGAAUCUUUGAACGCACAUUGCGCCCAUUAGUAUUCUAGUGGGCAUGCCUGUUCGAGCGUCAUUAAGUCCACUUAAGCCCUGCUUAGUGUUGGGAGACUGCUCCAGCGGUGCUACCCUGUAGCUACCCUGCAGCUCCUCAAAGACAGCGGCGGAGUUGUGGUAUCCUCUGAGCUUAGUAACUUGUUCUAGCUUUCGAGUACACCACUUCCCCUGCCGUAAAACCCUUAAUUUUUAAUGGUUGACCUCGGAUCAGGUAGGAAUACCCGCUGAACUUAAGCAUAUCAUAAGCGGAGGA
rnacentral:misc_RNA from 1 species